UACAGAGGUCUCGAGCGUUAGGCGGAAUCACUGGGCUUAAAGCGUGUGUAGGCGGAUUGGUAAGUACCUUGUGAAAUCCCACAGCUUAACUGUGGAACUGCUUGGUAUACUGCCAGUCUUGAGCCAGCUAGGGGCUACCGGAACAAAUGGUGGAGCGGUGAAAUGCGUAGAUAUCAUUUGGAACGCCAAUGGUGAAAACAGGUAGCUGGGGCUGUGCUGACGCUGAGACACGAAAGCCAGGGGAGCAAACGGG
rnacentral:rRNA from 1 species